AUUGAACGCGGGCGGCAGGCCUAACAAAUGCAAGUCGAGCGGAGCGGCGGACGGGGGAGUAAUGCCUAGGAAUCUGCCUGGUAGUGGGGGAUAACGUCCGGAAACGGGCGCUAAUACCGCAUACUAUCAGAUGAGCCUAGGUCGGAUUAGCUAGUGGGGGGGGUAAAGGCCUACCAAGGCGACGAUCCGUAACUGGUCUGAGAGGAUGAGCAGUCACACUGGAACUGAGACACGUUCCAGACGUCUACGGGAGGCAGCAGUGGGGAAUAUUGGACAAUGGGCGAAAGCCUGAUCCAGCCAUGCCGCGUGUGUGAAGAAGGUCUUCGGAUUGUAAAGCACUUUAAGUUGGGAGGCGUUACCAGCAGAAUAAGCACCGGCUAACUUCGUGCCAGCCGCCGCGGUAAUUC
rnacentral:rRNA from 1 species